GGGCGGUUAGCUCAGCGGGAGAGCACUUGCUUCACACGCAAGGGGUCACUGGUUCGAUCCCAGUACCGCCCACCAGUU
rnacentral:tRNA from 1 species